GCUCGGACUGGAGUCUGCAACCCGACUCCACGAAGUUGGNUUCGCUAGUAAUCGCGCAUCAGCCAUGGCGCGGUGAAUACGUUCCCGGGCCUUGUACACACCGCCCGUCAAGCCAUGGGAGCCGGGAGUGCCUGAAGUGCGUGACCGUAAAAGGAGCGCCCUAGGGCAAGACCGGUGACUGGGGCUAAGUCGUAACAAGGUAUC
rnacentral:rRNA from 1 species